AACGCACGAGACCUGCGGACCUGCGGAGGGAUCAUUACCGAGUGUGGCCCUUUUUUAAUGGGGGUGCCUCCCGUCCUUUGCAGGCCCUUAGGGGCUUUUUGACUUUGCUUCGGCGGGGCUGCCCCGCCGGAACACCCUCAAGAAAAUCUCAAAAAAAACCGUGCAGUCCGAGGGCUUGCGAAUAAACAAAAACUUUUAACAAUGGAUCUCU
rnacentral:misc_RNA from 1 species